rnacentral:rRNA from 1 species
UUUUAUUUGAGAGUUUGAUCCUGGCUCAGGAUGAACGCUGGCGGCGUGCUUAACACAUGCAAGUCGAACGGACUACUUCGGUAGUUAGUGGCGGACGGGUGAGUAACGUGUGGGUAACCUACCUCAUACAGGGGAAUAACGUUUGGAAACAAACGCUAAUACCACAUAAACUAAUUUUAUCGCAUGAAAAGAUUAGGAAAGAUUUAUCGGUAUGAGAUGGACCCGCAUUGGAUUAGCUAGUUGGUGAGAUAACAGCUCACCAAGGCGACGAUCCAUAGCCGGCCUGAGAGGGUGAACGGCCACACUGGGACUGAGACACGGCCCAGACUCCUACGGGAGGCAGCAGUGGGGAAUAUUGCACAAUGGGCGAAAGCCUGAUGCAGCGACGCCGCGUGAAGGAAGAAGGUUUUCGGAUCGUAAACUUCUAUCAGCAGGGAAGAAAAAAAUGACGGUACCUGACUAAGAAGCCCCGGCUAACUACGUGCCAGCAGCCGCGGUAAUACGUAGGGGGCGAGCGUUAUCCGGAAU